rnacentral:misc_RNA from 1 species
UGCGUGCGCACAAGUCUCUGUACAAGAAUUCGGAUUCGCACAAGCCUAUCCUUUUCACAUACCGCUGAUCACAUCCCAUAACGAUCCCUCUCUCACGCUAGAGGAGCUGUGCCAAACAGGAAAAUUCGGUAUGUUGUCGUGGUGUUGAUGGCUCAGAGGAGCCCCCGCCUCCGCUGCGUUGCGGUGGACUGGUCCCCCAAAACCAGCUUCGCAUAGGCUCCUCGUAUAAUGCCAAGCCUCGCUCGGCGUCGCGCCUGCGGAAGUUACCAAGGAUUACACCAACUAUGAAUUGUGUCUCUUCGGCGUCGACGAUUCAUGAAAAGGCGGACGCCUUAAGCACGUGGGGAUUCCGAUUGCAGAUGGAUCGACCGUUCAUGCUGCUGAGGAAGAGGGGGUGCAGGUGUUGGAGGCGUAAGUCCGUCGCCUCGAGAGCCCCGCUCAGAGCAGCUGCCUCGAUGCAACUGUCAGCCGAUUCAUGGACAGGCGCCUGCGCCCGCUGCCGGGAGACGAGGCGGAUGCGGGCAUGGGGCGAGCGACGGCGGGUCUGGGAAGACAUGGAUGCUGCCGUCUCUGAGGAGCUCCAUCGCGGACCGACACACCCACGGAGGAGGAUCCGCGGCCGCUCUUCCGUCUCCCCUCCUCCUUGUUCGACCUGUGGAAUGCACGCAAGGCGUCACUGCAGGGCAGACACAGCGUGCGCCGGCUCAUUCUGGUAGCGGCAUCGACGGCCGAGCGGAUGGAUGCAGCGCAGGCGGCGGCGCAAGCAACCACGGCGCCUUCGGCUUCGAACGACCCUCAGCUCCAAUCCGUCGACACCGUGCGCCCUGGUGCCGUCGGGAUGCCAGCGCCGCCCAGCGAUCCCUGGCCCGGAGAGCCCACUUUGGGCCUCGCAGGGAGGGGCUGCCGCCCCCAGGCGCCAUUUGCUGCAGCGCGACGUGGCGUGGGCCUCUGCUGAAGGUGCACCUUGCCCAAAUCGUCAGAACCAACCCGUGUUGCCCAGGCUGUUGCAUGAUGCAGACCGUCGUUAUCGCCGUCUUCUCGGCGAUCUACGGCGUCGCAUUCAACGGGCGUGACAUGACGCCACCAAAGAACCGCGACGUUGCACUGGCCUUGAAGAGGGCCUCCGACUGCCUCCUCACUCAGACGCGGCUCCCCAGCGGGCUCACUCUCUGCAGCGCAAUCUCCCGGUACGAGCGGGCGAUGGACCCCAUGUCCCUGAUGUGUUCAACCGCGAGCAGGAGCAUGAGACAGGAGGGGGCACGGUAAGAAGAGAGCACGCACCCGCAGAGCAGCAGGAAGACGGGGUGCCGCUACGGGCACACGAUGGGGGCACAGCCCCGCCGACCGUGUAGGUGCACCGCACAUGGGAGGCUCCUUUUCUUUCUUGUCUACUGGAGCUGCUGCUCACUUUCAUGUUGAUGGCGCCUCUGCCAUCGCUGCUCUCCACAAGGGCUGCUCAUAUAGUCAUGCCACCAGCGCAGCACUCCAAAACACCAUCGACUCAGUUGCCAUGCGUGAUUCACGGCCCGUUACACACAAUGCGAGUGCUAACUCGGCCGACGUGCCGAGCGAUGGUCCUGCAUACCAAACAC